rnacentral:tRNA from 1 species
UCCCUGGUAGCUCAGAUGGUAAAGCGUCUGCCUGCAAUGUGGGAGACCUGGGUUCGAUCCCCGGGUUGGGAA